rnacentral:rRNA from 1 species
AUUGAACGCUGGCGGCAGGCCUAACACAUGCAAGUCGAACGAGUGGCGGCCGGGUGAGUAAUGUCUGGGAAACUGCCUGAUGGAGGGGGAUAACUACUGGAAACGGUAGCUAAUACCGCAUACCAUCGGAUGUGCCCAGAUGGGAUUCGCUAGUAGGUGGGGUAACGGCUCACCUAGGCGACGAACCCUAGCUGUUCUGAGAGGAUGACCAGCCACACUGGAACUGUGACCAUGCCCAGACUCCUACGGUAGGCAGCAGUGGGGAAUAUUGCACAAUGGGCGAAAGCCUGAUGCAGCCAUGCCGCGUGUAUGAAGAAGGCCUUCGGGUUGUAAAGUACUUUCAGCGGGGAGGCGUUACCCGCAGAAGAAGCACCGGCUAACUCCGUGCCAGCCGCCGCGGUAAUUC